CCCAAACCACCCACAAGCCCCACUCUCACAAACCUCUCCCCCCAUUUUCCAAACACACACACACGACACCAAAUACACACACACACGACACAAAUACACACACACACGACACAAACACAUACACUAUAUAUAACACACACAUGCACAACCGGAAAGAAAGAAAAGAGAAAACAACAAAGAAGCAAAAGGAAAGAAAACAGAAAAGGCAAGAACAAGAAACAAAAAAAAAAACAGAAGAGAAAAAGAUUGAAAAAAAAAAA
rnacentral:lncRNA from 1 species